GAUAAAGCAUCUGUUCCUUUGUAUUUAAAUUGCUUGAUGCACCUGUUCAGAAGUGUGUAAGUGAACCAUUUAUUUAUGCAGAUGAAAUAUUUGAGGUAAAGAGCAAGAUCGUAUGACCAAGACAUGGGGGCAUGCCAGGUGUGCAAACAUCAAAGUUUUGUAAAGAAUUAAACUCAGACCUGAACUUUAUCCCCUGUACUUCUGGAACGUCUUCUCUUUCCAGGUGUUCUGUGGCAGAUCUAUAGGUUUCUGGAGUCCUCGGAGGUCCACAGACUGCUGGAUUAGCACCAUGAAUUUCAGAUUGAGUGAACAGACAAUAUCUACAUAAAUACACUGAUGAAUUGAAAUUUUCUGUAAAACCCCCAAUACAAUGAGAGCCCAGGGUGUCUCCAGCAAUGCAGUAGAGAGCUCCCAACAGUUUUGUCUGCCAUUCUCCUCUAGUACUUUCAAAUAGUUCAGUAGUUCUGAAAAAAUGGCCAAAUUCCUUAAAAUCCUUCUCCAUACACAUUAAAAUUAGCUGCAUAUGAUCAGCAUUCGACCGGGCAUGGGGAGGAAUGUUGAGUAGGGAGUAGUACACAGCCAAAACCUUGUGCUUCUUUUUGCAGAACCAAGUGGGUUCACUACUUCAAAUGCAUCCUGGUAUAGAACCAGCUUGAGGCAAUUUGGAUUUUCUUUAAAAAAUGUGCUUGACACAAACACGUCUCCAUCACAACAGUCACUGAGAACCUCUGAUCCUGAAACGCUAGGAUCCACUGAUAUGAGACUAGAAACUAGAUUCCAGUAUAUUCUUCAAAGUAUUUAGCACAUGGACAUAAUAAGCAAAUCUCUCAGGCCAUCCUUAAAAAAAUUCUUGUUUGCCGUAACCCGACCGACCAUGUCAAUUUAGGACCGACUCAAUUUUUUUUUUUUUUUUUGCUUUAAGUCCGACCGACUUGCUGGUUGUAAAUUUGCAUUAAGACUGACCAGAGAGAACGCCUUCCCCACGUCCGAAGCCUUCCUCGUGCAGUUCCGCACGGUCUUUGACCACUCCGCCUCCAGGGAGAGCGCGGAGGAGUGCUUGCUGGCCGUCUUGCAGGGCGAUCGCACUGGCAUUUCGCACUCUCACCGCAGAAGCAGGCUGGGAGGAACGCCCCCUGCUACUGCUCUACCGCAAGGGCUUAAACCCGGACCUUCAAGCCGAGCUUGUCAGCCAGUCCGAGUUUCUGGAUCUCUCCAUCCAGCUGUAUAACCUGCUGCGCUCCUGACGUUCCCCCACACAUGCUGCCACCCGUCCUGCAUGCGCCAAAUACCCCGAGCCAAUGCUGAUUGACUACACGCACCUCACGCCCGAGGAGCGAGAGCGCUGCAUCUGCCUCCGUCUCUGCCUGUACUGCGGAGAACCUGGACACCGACUGCCAACCUGCCCGACCAGACCACCGCGAGGGCGAAAUAACCCGGUGAGUCAAAGUUUCGUCAUCCCACAAUCACAGAGCUGCGCUCAUAUUAUGAGCGGCUCAAGGCGGCUCAAGAUUCGAGGAGAGAGUGUGGAACUCUAUGCACUUAUGGACUCGGGCGCAGCUGGAAAUUUUAUGUCCUGGAAAUUCGUUCAAACUCAUAACGUUCCGGUAAUCCCUUGUGUGUCCCCUUUAGCAGUGGAGGCGAUAGAAGCAUCGUCAGGGUUCUUCUUCGUCAAGAAAAAAGACGGGGGCUCCGACCCUGCAUCAACUAUCGAGCCCUCAACGACAUAACCGUGAAGUUUCGGAAGCCCCUUCCACUCGUGCCGUCAGCCCUGGAACAACUCCUCCUCACGAAACUCAACUUUCGCUGCGCCUAUAAUCUUAUCCGCAUCAGACAGUGGGACGAGUGGAAGACCGCCUUCUCGACCCAAUCAGGCCACUACGAAUAUUUGGUUACGCCGUUCGGCCUAUUGAACAGUCCAGUGGUCUUCCAGUCGUUCUUUAAUGAUGUGUUCCGGGACAUGCUAGACCGCUGGGUAAUCGUUUAUAUCGACUACAUCAUUGUCUAUUUUGAAAGCAAGGAAGAACAUAUCCAACACGUGAGGGCGGUGUUACAACACCUCAUCCAGCAUCAGUUAUACGCCAAGUCAGGGGAAAUGCGAGUUUCAUCAGACCGCGACGGCCUUUCUGGGGUAUGUUAUUUCGGCAGAGGGGGUCGCCAUAGAUGACACUAAAGUGCAGAUGGUGUUACAAUGGCCCAAACCACGGACCAUCAAAGAGCUACAAUGCUUUUUAGGGUUCGCAAACUUCUACCGUCACUUUAUUCGUGGCUUCAGCACGAUCACAGCGCUCCUCACCUUGAUGACAAGAAAGGCACCAACCCACCUUACCUGGUCACCGGAGGCACAUUCAGCGUUCAAACCACUAAAGGAAAGCUUCACCUCGGCACCGAUUCUCCACCUCCCUGACCCUAUCUGGCCGUUUAUAGACUCCUCCAACACGGGAAUCGGAGCUAUACUGUCCCAGCGCCAGGGAUCCGCCAAUAAAAUGUUCCCAUUUCUCCCGCAAAUUGUCUACAGCAGAAUGGAAUUACGACAUGGGAGACCGCAAGCUGCUGGCCAUGAAAGGAGCAUUCGAGGAGUGGCAGCACUGGUUAGAAGGCGCACAGCACCCAUUCACUGUUCUCACUGACCACAGAAACCUGGAGUACCUGCGCGCUGCUAAAUGCAUGAACCCACGCCAGGCCCGGUGGGCCAUGUUUUUCACUCGGUUCCAGUUCACAGUAACCUACAGACCAGGGAGCAAGAACACCAAGGUCGACGCCCUGUCACGGCUGCACCGGGAGUCGGACCAACACACGCCAACCGAGCACAUCAUCCCCGAGACUCGGAUCGUCGCACCCAUUCAGUGGGACAUCUUGACAGAGAUCGCCCAAGCCAACGUGCAAACGCAGCCACUGGUUGAAUGCCCGAUCGUCAAGACGUACGUGCCGGCGCACCUGCGCACUUCGCUCCUUGAACUGCUACACACGAGCCCGGCCUCCAGUCACCCCAGCAUCGCGGCUACAACCCAUCGGUCCAGAAUGAGUUCUGGUGGCCAUCACUGGCCGCGGACACACGCGAGUACGUUCGAGGCUGCAUGGAAUGUCACACCUCCAAAGCCUCACAUCAAUGCCCAAUGGGCCUGUUGCUGCCACUACCAGUACCACAACUACCCUGGUCACACAUCGCACUAGAUUUUAUCACAGAUCUGCCUCGAUCCAACAACCACACAACCAUUCUGACCGUCAUUGACCGUUCUUGAAAGCCUGCCGACUGAUCCCGCUAACCAAGCUUCCUACCGCAUUCGAGACAGCGGAAUUGCUCUGUAACCACGUUUUCCCCUAUUAUGGUCUGCCCGAGGACAUCAUCUCAGACAGGGGUCCUCAGUUCACCUUGCGGGUCUGGAUGGCCUUCUUCAGGUGGUUAAAUAUAAACUUCUGCCUCACUUUGCGGUACCACCCACAGUCCAACGGCCAGACUGAACGCCACAAUCAAGAAAUCAACCGCUUUCUCCGAACUCUGAACAGUCAAAAUAAUCAAAACGAGUGGAGCAGGUAUCUGAUGUGGGCUGAAUAUGCCCAGAACUCUCUGAUUAAACCCGCCACCGGCCUGACACCCUUUCGGUGCAUCCUAGGCUAUCAGCCCCCCUUAUUCCCGUGGUCCGACACACCCACUGAUCUACCGGCCAUCGAUGAUUGGUUUCGCCAGAGCGAGGAGACGUGGGCCGAGAGAGGAUCCUGACACCGCCACUGCUCCGCCCACAACACUGCUACUCCUAGUCGAUGGCAAGGAAAUAUAUCAAGUUUCGAACUACUCGACUCCAGACGCCGAGGGGGCCGCUUGGAGUAUCUGGUUGACUGGGAGGGAUUCGGCCCGGAAGAACGCUCGUGGGUGAAAGCGGGGGACAUCCUGGAUCUUUUGCUCACCGCCGACUACCUCCAACGGCACCCCGACAAACCAGCUCCCCAUCCACGGGGUCGACUAUGGUGCCGCAAACAUCCUCGCACCAGGAGCCGCUCGCAGGGGGGGCUCUGUCACGAGCAACGAACUGCCGUUCGAGCGUCACCAUAGAGACUCGUCCCCGGAGUAUUAGCGCGUUUCCUGAAGGCACUUCCCAUCAGCCAUCCUUCACUCUGAUUACACCGCCACCUGUUCCUCAUCACCGCUCUCUAUUUAACCACACUCGAACUUCAUACCAGUGCAAGCUAUUCACUGUUAUUUUACAGGAAAUUUUUUACAGUGAAAGUCUCUGCAAGAUGUGAUUGAUGGUGACGUUAUUGGACCAGGAUAUCAUUCUCUGGUGAAGCAACUUCAGGCAAGAGUUGAAAAUGUCAAGCGACCUGACACACCAUAGGUUAUAAAGCGCAAAGCAGCAUCAGAUGAUGACGACACAGACGAAAAACCUACCGAACAAAAUGCAAGUGUUCAAGACACCUAUGGAUGUAUUAGCUGGGAGCCAAAGCAUCUGCCACUCUCAGAGACUGUGGAGAGUCAGCUUGAAGAAAAAAAAAAAGAUAUGAAGAUGUUUAAGAAGAACUACAGUACAGAUGUUGUGAAAUAACUAGUCAAGUGCACCUAUUACCCCCAGCAUAAAGACAUCAUCAAAGGGGCAAGCAUCCAGAAACUUUGCCAGGAAUGGCCCUUUCUCUUCACAUUUCCAAGAGCUGACUGGUGUGAAUCUGAUGGAAACCUUCCUUGCCAAUGUAGACAAAAAAGGGUCACGUCUGAAGAGCUUCUGUUCCACUGUGUUGAGACGACAAGCCUUGCAGAGGACGUUCAGAUGGAGACGUUCAGUGAGAUUGAAUGAUGUAAAAAUAUAGACAAAAAUAAUUAGAUGACACACAAAGCAGUAUUUAUGACUUAGUACAGCAGAAUGCUUGAAUAUAUUAUUUUAGAUGCUGUAAAAUGGAACAUUUCAUAUACUGUAUGUACUGAAGACAAUAUAAAAUAUAAAAUCAAUCAAGCUUUUAAAA